rnacentral:rRNA from 1 species
GAGUGGACUCCUACGGGAGGCAGCAGUGGGGAAUAUUGCGCAAUGGGGGCAACCCUGACGCAGCCAUGCCGCGUGAAUGAAGAAGGCCUUCGGGUUGUAAAGUUCUUUCGGUGACGAGGAAGGCGUGAUGUUUAAUAGGCAUCACGAUUGACGUUAAUCACAGAAGAAGCACCGGCUAACUCCGUGCCAGCAGCCGCGGUAAUACGGAGGGUGCGAGCGUUAAUCGGAAUAACUGGGCGUAAAGGGCACGCAGGCGGCUAUUUAAGUGAGGUGUGAAAUCCCCGGGCUUAACCUGGGAAUUGCAUUUCAGACUGGGUAGCUAGAGUACUUUAGGGAGGGGUAGAAUUCCACGUGUAGCGGUGAAAUGCGUAGAGAUGUGGAGGAAUACCGAAGGCGAAGGCAGCCCCUUGGGAAUGUACUGACGCUCAUGUGCGAAAGCGUGGGGAGCAAACAGGAUUAGAUACCCUUGUAGUCCUGAGU